rnacentral:rRNA from 1 species
GAACGUAGCGGCAGGCUNACACAUGCAAGUGAACGGUAACAGAUCUAGCUUGCUAGAUGCUGACGAGUGGCGCACGGGUGCGUAACGCGUAUACAAUCUACCUUUAACUGAGGGAUAGCCCAGAGAAAUUUGGAUUAAUACCUCAUAGUAUUAUAUUAAGGCAUCUUUUUAUAAUUAAAACUCCGGUGGUCAAAGAUGAGUAUGCGUCCUAUUAGCUAGUUGGUAAGGUAAAAGCUUACCGAGGCUACGAUAGGUAGGGGGCCUGAAAGGGUGAUCCCCCACACUGGUACUGAGACACGGACCAGACUCCUACGGGAGGCAGCAGUGAGGAAUAUUGCACAAUGGAGGAAACUCUGAUGCAGCCAUGCCGCGUGCAGGAUGAAUGCCCUAUGGGUUGUAAACUGCUUUUAUACAAGAAGAAACAUCGGUACGUGUACCGACUUGACGGUAUUGUAGAAUAAGCACCGG